rnacentral:rRNA from 1 species
AUUGAACGCUGGCGGCAGGCUUAACACAUGCAAGUCGAGCGAGCGGCGGACGGGUGAGUAAUGUCUGGGAAACUGCCUGAUGGAGGGGGAUAACUACUUGAAACGGUAGCUAAUACCGCAUACCAUCAGAUGUGCCCAGAUGGGAUUAGCUAGUGGGUGGGGUAAUGGCUCACAUAGGCGACGAUCCCUAGCUGGUCUGAGAGGAUGACCAGCCACACGUGAACUGAGACAGGGGCCAGACUCAGACGGGAGGCAGCAGUGGGGAAUAUUGCAGAAUGGGGACAAGCCUGAUGCAGGCAAGCCGGGGGUGGGAAGAAGGCCUUCGGGUUGUAAAGCACUUUCAGCGAGGAGGCGUUACUCGCAGAAGAAGCACCGGCUAACUACGUGCCAGCAGACGCGGUAAUUC